UUGCUCUUCGAUUCAGCGGCGGACGGGUGAGUAAUGCCUAGGAAUCUGCCUGGUAGUGGGGGACAACGUUUCGAAAGGAACGCUAAUACCGCAUACGUCCUACGGGAGAAAGCAGGGGACCUUCGGGCCUUGCGCUAUCAGAUGAGCCUAGGUCGGAUUAGCUAGUUGGUGAGGUAAUGGCUCACCAAGGCUACGAUCCGUAACUGGUCUGAGAGGAUGAUCAGUCACACUGGAACUGAGACACGGUCCAGACUCCUACGGGAGGCAGCAGUGGGGAAUAUUGGACAAUGGGCGAAAGCCUGAUCCAGCCAUGCCGCGUGUGUGAAGAAGGUCUUCGGAUUGUAAAGCACUUUAAGUUGGGAGGAAGGGCAGUAAGCUAAUACCUUGCUGUUUUGACGUUACCGACAGAAUAAGCACCGGCUAACUCUGUGCCAGCAGCCGCGGUAAUACAGAGGGUGCAAGCGUUAAUCGGAAUUACUGGGCGUAAAGCGCGCGUAGGUGGUUUGUUAAGUUGGAUGUGAAAGCCCCGGGCUCAACCUGGGAACUGCAUCCAAAACUGGCAAGCUAGAGUAUGGUAGAGGGUGGUGGAAUUUCCUGUGUAGCGGUGAAAUGCGUAGAUAUAGGAAGGAACACCAGUGGCGAAGGCGACCACCUGGACUGAUACUGACACUGAGGUGCGAAAGCGUGGGGAGCAAACA
rnacentral:rRNA from 1 species